CCACUCAGAAAACUUCCUUAGCUUUAUCAGAUGGCUCUUCCCACUGGUAUGUGAAAUACCAACUUGCAGAGAACUCAGCACAGCAGGUGCCUUGGAGGCAUGGGAUCAUCUGGCUUCUGAAAGUGAAGAGAAGGAAAUAAAAAGCUUUUGCACUUUGCA